rnacentral:rRNA from 1 species
GAUGAACGCUAGCUACAGGCUUAACACAUGCAAGUCGAGGGACCGGCGCAAGGGUGAGUAGCACGUAUCCAACCUGCCCUUUACGCGGGGAUAGCCUUUCGCAAGAAAGAUUAAUACCCGAUAUAAAGGAUGGGGAUGCGUUCCCUUAGGUUGUUGGUGAGGUAACGGCUCACCAAGCCUUCGCUGGAUAGGGGUUCUGAGAGGAAGUCCCCCCACAUUGGAGCUGAGACACGGUCCAAACUCCUACGGGACGGAGCAGUGAGGAGUAUUGGUCAAUGGGCGCUAGCCUUAACCAGCCAAGUAGCGGUAAGGAUGCAGGCUUCUGGGUCGUCAACUUCUUUUAUAUAAGAAUAUGUAUUAUCUGCAUAAGGAUCGGCUAACUCCGUGCCAGCAGCCGCGGUAAUAC